UACGAAGGGAGCUAGCGUUGUUCGGAAUCACUGGGCGUAAAGCGCACGUAGGCGGAUGUGUCAGUCAGGGGUGAAAUCCCGGAGCUCAACUUCGGAACUGCCUUUGAUACAGCACGUCUUGAGUCCGAUAGAGGUGGGUGGAAUUCCUAGUGUAGAGGUGAAAUGCGUAGAUAUCGGGAGGAACACCAGUGGCGAAGGCGACUUCCUGGCCUGUUCUUGACGCUGAGGCGCGAAAGCUAGGGGAGCAAACGGG
rnacentral:rRNA from 1 species